GUGCUAGCUUUGGCAGCACAUAUACUAAAAUUGCAAUGAUACAGAGAAGAUUAGCAUGGCUCCUGCACAAAGAUAACAUGCAAAUUCGUGAAGCAUUCCAUAUUUUU
rnacentral:snRNA from 1 species